rnacentral:rRNA from 1 species
UGGUGGAGUGAUUUGUCUGGUUAAUUCCGUUAACGAACGAGACCUCAGCCUGCUAAAUAGUUGCGCCAACCUUCUAUUUGGGUGAAGGGUUGGAACGGUGGAGUGGCAAAAUUCGUUUGCUAUUUCAUCUUCCAAUUUGGAUCCUUGAUGAGUUGGUGAAUAUACUUCUUAGAGGGACUAUUAGUAUCUAGCUAAUGGAAGUUUGAGGCAAUAACA